rnacentral:rRNA from 1 species
GUAGGUGGCAAGCGUUGUCCGGAAUUAUUGGGCGUAAAGCGCGCGCAGGCGGUUCUUUAAGUCUGAUGUGAAAGCCCACGGCUCAACCGUGGAGGGUCAUUGGAAACUGGAGAACUUGAGUACAGAAGAGGAAAGCGGAAUUCCACGUGUAGCGGUGAAAUGCGUAGAGAUGUGGAGGAACACCAGUGGCGAAGGCGGCUUUCUGGUCUGUAACUGACGCUGAGGCGCGAAAGCGUGGGGAGCAAACAGGAUUAGAUACCCUGGUAGUCCACGCCGUAAACGAUGAGUGCUAAGUGUUAGGGGGGUUUCCGCCCCCUUAGUGCUGCAGCUAACGCAUUAAGCACUCCGCCUGGGAGUACGGCCGCAAGGCUG